rnacentral:rRNA from 2 species
CAUCAUGAUUUACAUUUGAGUGAGUGGCGAACUGGUGAGUAACACGUGGGAAACCUGCCCAGAAGCGGGGGAUAACACCUGGAAACAGAUGCUAAUACCGCAUAACAACUUGGACCGCAUGGUCCGAGUUUGAAAGAUGGCUUCGGCUAUCACUUUUGGAUGGUCCCGCGGCGUAUUAGCUAGAUGGUGAGGUAACGGCUCACCAUGGCAAUGAUACGUAGCCGACCUGAGAGGGUAAUCGGCCACAUUGGGACUGAGACACGGCCCAAACUCCUACGGGAGGCAGCAGUAGGGAAUCUUCCACAAUGGACGAAAGUCUGAUGGAGCAACGCCGCGUGAGUGAAGAAGGGUUUCGGCUCGUAAAACUCUGUUGUUAAAGAAGAACAUAUCUGAGAGUAACUGUUCAGGUAUUGACGGUAUUUAACCAGAAAGCCACGGCUAACUACGUGCCAGCAGCCGCGGUAAUACGUAGGUGGCAAGCGUUGUCCGGAUUUAUUGGGCGUAAAGCGAGCGCAGGCGGUUUUUUAAGUCUGAUGUGAAAGCCUUCGGCUCAACCGAAGAAGUGCAUCGGAAACUGGGAAACUUGAGUGCAGAAGAGGACAGUGGAACUCCAUGUGUAGCGGUGAAAUGCGUAGAUAUAUGGAAGAACACCAGUGGCGAAGGCGGCUGUCUGGUCUGUAACUGACGCUGAGGCUCGAAAGUAUGGGUAGCAAACAGGAUUAGAUACCCUGGUAGUCCAUACCGUAAACGAUGAAUGCUAAGUGUUGGGAGGGUUUCCGCCCUUCAGUGCUGCAGCUAACGCAUUAAGCAUUCCGCCUGGGGGAGUACGGCCGCAAGGCUGAAACUCAAAGGAAUUGACGGGGGCCCGCACAAGCGGUGGAGCAUGUGGUUUAAUUCGAAGCUACGCGAAGAACCUUACCAGGUCUUGACAUACUAUGCAAAUCUAAGAAGAUUAGACGUUCCCUUCGGGGACAUGGAUACAGGUGGGGGCAGGGUUGUCGUCAGCUCGUGUCGUGAGAAAGUUUGGGGUUAAAUCCCCCCACCGAGCGCAACCCUUAUUAUCAGUUGCCACCAUUAAAUUGGGGACUCUUGGUGAGACUGCCGGGGAAAACACGAGGAAGAGGGGGGGGGGUGGGGGUCCAAAAUAUUU